rnacentral:ncRNA from 1 species
CCGGUGGCCUCAGAUGAAAUUAGGCUACUUUGAUGGGUUUUUUCAUUGCUCGGAAGGGAAGGUGAGGCGAGCCUUGUGGGACUCUCUAUCGGGCACAGCCAGCUUCAGGGACAGUGUGAGGUGCAAUUGGACCGGGGCUGGUACGAGUGGAAUUGGACUGGGGCUGGUACAUGUCAGAAUAUAACUCAGAUCAAGGAGGAGAGAAACUUUCCAUGGAACAGAAGAGCAAACACUUGCUUGAUCUUCUUCUUUCUGACUUUGGGGGUUUUAAGCCGGAGAUGUCAGAAAAGUUACUGCAGGGAUAACUGCGUUGUGGUUGCUAAGCGUUCAUAGUGACGUCAUCAUGAAGUCACAAUCCUCCCUCAGCGUGACAAUCCCGCAGCGCCCAGGAACUUCACCUCGCGCCGGGGAGGACCUGAGGGCAGUU